rnacentral:rRNA from 1 species
GAUCAUGGCUCAGGACGAACGCUGGCGGCGUGCUUAACACAUGCAAGUCGAACGAGAGGACAAGAGAAGCUUGCUUCUUUUGAAAUCGAGUGGCAAACGGGUGAGUAACACGUAAACAACCUGCCUUCAGGAUGGGGACAACAGGCGGAAACGACUGCUAAUACCGAAUACGCUUGGGAGACCGCAUGAUCUUCCAAGGAAAGGGUGGCCUCUACCUGUAAGCUAUCGCCUGAAGAGGGGUUUGCG